rnacentral:rRNA from 1 species
UCCGGUUGAUCCUGCCGGACCUGACUGCUAUCGGAUUGGUACUAAGCCAUGCGAGUCAUUGUAGCAAUACAAGGCGGACGGCUCAGUAACACGUAGUCAACCUAACUCGUGGACGUGGAUAACCUCGGGAAACUGAGAAUAAACCACGAUAGAUCAUAAUGCCUGGAAUGGCUUAUGGUCCAAACAGUUUACUGCCAUGGGAUGGGACUGCGGCCUAUCAGCUUGUUGGUGAGGUAAUGGCCCACCAAGGCGAUUACAGGUACGGGCUCUGAGAGGAGAAGCCCGGAGAUGGGUACUGAGACACGGACCCAGGCCCUAUGGGGCGCAGCAGGCGAGAAACCUUAGCAAUGUGCGAAAGCACGACUGGGUCAGUCCGAGUGAUUCCUGAUAAAGGAGUCUUUUGCUUGUCCUAAAAGCACAGGUGAAUAAGGGGUGGGCAAGUCUGGUGUCAGCCGCCGCGGUAAUACCAGCACCUCGAGUGGUCAGGACGUUUAUUGGGCCUAAAGCAUCCGUAGCCGGCUUUGCAAGUCUUCGGUUAAAUCCACCUGCUCAACAGAUGGGCUGCUGGAGAUACUACAGAGCUAGGGAGUGGGAGAGGCAGACGGUAUUCAGUGGGUAGGGGUAAAAUCCUCUGAUCCAUUGAGGACCACCAGUGGCGAAGGCGGUCUGCCAGAACACGUUCGACGGUGAGGGAUGAAGGCUGGGGGAGCAAACCGGAUUAGAUACCCGGGUAGUCCCAGCUGUAAACGAUGCAAACUCGGUGAUGCAUUGGCUUAUGGCCAAUGCAGUGCCGCAGGGAAGCCGUUAAGUUUGCCGCCUGGGAAGUACGGACGCAAGUCUGAAACUUAAAGGAAUUGGCGGGGGAGCACCACAAGGGGUGAAGCCUGCGGUUCAAUUGGAGUCAACGCCAGGAAUCUUACCCGGGGAGACAGCAGAAUGAAGGUCAAGCUGAAGACUUUACCAGACAAGCUGAGAGGAGGUGCAUGGCC